UUUGCACACGUUUCCAUUUAAUUUGGUUCUUGAUUUAGAUCCUACAUCUAUUAAAUAAAGAAAAUAAUUUUUUGCAAAAUAUAAUAUACAAUGGAAUCUAGAAAUGGAUGGGUUCAAACAAAUUAUAUCAUUCAUGUCAUUUUUACCAAAUGAUAUAUAUUCUUUUGCAAUAAAAGAAUAAUCUUUUGUUUUUUCUUCUAAUUUAUAAUUAUUGUCUGUUUGUAAAUUUGUGUUAUUUAAUGAUGACCCUUUUAUCAUUUGUUUAGAAGUAUUAAUAACCUGGUUGGUGUUAUUGUCACCGUCACCAUCUUCAUCCUCAUAUAUGAACUUUUUUUCAAAGUAUGUUUCUGUUAUCAAAACAUUUGCGAUUAAAUUUUUAUCUGUUUGCAUAUUACAAUUUAAUAAUAACCAAGAAUAUAUUUCUGUAUUAUUUAAAAUAUCAUUUCGUAUGUUCAUAUAAAUUCGACCUAAUUGGUUUUGCCCUUUUCUAUUAUAAACACCAAAAAAAAUAUAAAUCAUUAAUCAUAUUUUUAUUAUAUACUUUUUCAAUAUCCUCAACAUUAACUUUAUAUAUUAUUUCACGUUUUCCUGUUUGUUUUAGGCUUUCACGCAGUUUUUCAUACUUCCGAAAUUUAUCUCUUUGCAUAGAGUCUACCCACCUUAAUUUAUUUGUGUUCCACACAGGGUUCUACAAAAAAAAAAAAAAAAAAAAAAAAAAAAAAAAAAAAAAAAAAAAAAAAAAAAAAAAAAAAAAAAAAAAAAAAAAAAAAACAUGCUUAAUUGUGAUAUUUUAUUUUUUUGUUUUUAAGCUUUUCAUUGGGACGGAGAAAGUAUGAACUUCGAUGGAUAUUGGAAUAAAUUAGGGUCUUAUUUAUGUUAUCGUAUAUAU
rnacentral:lncRNA from 1 species